GACGAACGCUGGCGGCGUGCCUAAUACAUGCAAGUAGAACGCAGUUGCGAACGGGUGAGUAACGCGUAGGUAACUGCCUCAUAGCGGGGGAUAACUAUUGGAAACGAUAGCUAAUACCGCAUACUGUGAGACGGACCUGCGUUGUAUUAGCUAGUUGGUGAGGUAAAGGCUCACCAAGGCGACGAUACAUAGCCGACCUGAGAGGGGGACAGGCAACACGGGAAUUGAAAAACGGCCAAGACUCCUACGGGAGACGGAGGAAGGGAACUUUGGGCAUUGAACGGAAGCCUGACGAAGCAACGCCGCGGGAGUGAGAAAGGUUUUCGGACCGUAAAGCUCGGUGUUUAGGGAAGCGGUAACUAACCAGAAAGGGACGGCUAACUACGUGCCAGCAGCCGCGGUAAUAC
rnacentral:rRNA from 1 species